rnacentral:rRNA from 1 species
UACGUAGGGUGCGAGCGUUAAUCGGAAUUACUGGGCGUAAAGCGUGCGCAGGCGGUGAUGUAAGACAGAUGUGAAAUCCCCGGGCUCAACCUGGGAACUGCAUUUGUGACUGCAUCGCUGGAGUGCGGGAGAGGGGGAUGGAAUUCCGCGUGUAGCAGUGAAAUGCGUAGAUAUGCGGAGGAACACCGAUGGCGAAGGCAAUCCCCUGGGCCUGCACUGACGCUCAUGCACGAAAGCGUGGGGAGCAAACAGG